UAAGGAAUAUUGGUCAAUGGACGCAAGUCUGAACCAGCCAUGCCGCGUGAAGGAUGAAGGUCCUCUGGAUUGUAAACUUCUUUUAUCUGGGACGAAAACGGGAUUUUUAUCUCAAUUGACGGUACCAGAGGAAUAAGCACCGGCUAACUCCGUGCCAGCAGCCGCGGUAAUACGGAGGGUGCGAGCGUUAUCCGGAUUUACUGGGUUUAAAGGGUGCGUAGGUGGGCUUAUAAGUCAGUGGUGAAAUCUCCGAGCUUAACUUGGAAACUGCCGUUGAUACUAUAGGUCUUGAAUUAUCUGGAGGUAAGCGGGAUAUGUCACGUAGCGGUGAAAUGCUUAGAUAUGACAUAGAACACCAAUUGCGAAGGCAGCUUACUACAUAUAAAUUGACGCUGAGGCACGAAAGCGUGGGGAUCAAACA
rnacentral:rRNA from 1 species